GAUGAACGCUGGCGGCGUGCUUAACACAUGCAAGUCGAACGAUGAAGCCCAGCUGGCUGUGUGGAUUAGUGGCGAACGGGUGAGUAACACGUGAGUAACCUGCCCGUGACUCUGGGAUAAUCCGGGGAAACUGGGUCUAAUACUGUAUAUGACUUCGCAGCGCAUGGUGGGGGGUGGAAAGAUGUAUGGGUCUUGGAGGGACUCGCGGCCUAUCAGCUUGUUGGUGGGGUAAUGGCUCACAAAGUCGACGAGGGGUAGCCGGCCUGAGAGGGUGACGGGCCACACUGGGACUGAGAAACGGCCAGGCCCCCUCCGGGAGGAAGAAGUGGGGAAUAUUGAACAAUGGGCGAAAGCCUGAUGAAGAGCCGCGGCGUGAGGGAUGCCGGCCUUCGGGUGGUAACCGUCUUUCACUAGGGAAGAAGCGAGAGUGACGGUACCUGCAGAAGAAGCGCCGGCUAACUACGUG
rnacentral:rRNA from 1 species